rfam:Glycine soja cultivar W05 scaffold2876_2, whole genome shotgun sequence.
UUAUUAUUGAAUGAUAAUUAACACGUGUCAUAUUUUGAUUGAAUGUCAACUCCAUGGAAGAUGAAAUGCAUUGUUGUUUUCAUUGACCAAUCAGAACAUAACACGUGGCGGUCAACAUUA